UACGUAGGGGGCUAGCGUUGUCCGGAAUCAUUGGGCGUAAAGCGCGUGUAGGCGGCUCGGUAAGUCCGCUGUGAAAGUCGGGGGCUCAACCCUCGAAUGCCGGUGGAUACUGUCGGGCUAGAGUGCGGAAGAGGCGAGUGGAAUUCCUGGCGUAGCGGUGAAAUGCGCAGAUAUCAGGAGGAACACCAAUUGCGAAGGCAGCUCGCUGGGACGUAACUGACGCUGAGACGCGAAAGCGUGGGGAGCAAACGGG
rnacentral:rRNA from 1 species